rnacentral:rRNA from 1 species
ACGGAAGGCAGCAGUGAGGAAUAUUGGUCAAUGGGCGAGAGCCUGAACCAGCCAAGUCGCGUGAGGGAAGACGGCCCUAUGGGUUGUAAACCUCUUUUAUGCGGGAAUAAAGUGCCCCAUGCGUGGGGUUUUGCAUGUACCGCAGGAAUAAGGAUCGGCUAACUCCGUGCCAGCAGCCGCGGUAAUACGGAGGAUCCGAGUGUUAUCCGGAUUUAUUGGGUUUAAGGGUGCGUAGGCGGGGGAUCAAGUCAGUGGUGAAAUGGUGCGGCUCAACCGUAGCAUUGCCGUUGAAACUGGUUUUCUUGAGUGCGAAUGAGGUGGGCGGAAUGUGUCAUGUAGCGGUGAAAUGCAUAGAUAUGACACAGAACACCGAUUGCGAAGGCAGCCCACUGGGACGCGACUGACGCUGAGGCACGAAAGUGCGGGGAUCGAACAGGAUUAGAUACCCUGGUA